rnacentral:rRNA from 1 species
GAUGAACGCUAGCGAUAGGCUUAACACAUGCAAGUCGAGGGGCAGCAUGGUCUUAGCUUGCUAAGACUGAUGGCGACCGGCGCACGGGUGCGUAACGCGUAUGCAACUUGCCUCACAGAGGGGGAUAACCCGUCGAAAGACGGACUAAUACCGCGUACACUCCAUCUUGGGCAUCCAAGGUAGAGGAAAUGAAAUUCGCUGUGAGAUAGGCAUGCGUCCCAUUAGCUAGUUGGUGAGGUAACGGCUCACCAAGGCGACGAUGGGUAGGGGAACUGAGAGGUUGAACCCCCACACUGGUACUGAGACACGGACCAGACUCCUACGGGAGGCAGCAGUGAGGAAUAUUGGUCAAUGGGCGAGAGCCUGAACCAGCCAAGUCGCGUGAAGGAUGACUGUCUUAUGGAUUGUAAACUUCUUUUAUACGGGAAUAACAAGAGUCACGUGUGACUCCCUGCAUGUACCGUAUGAAUAAGCAUCGGCUAACUCCGCG